GACGAACGCUGGCGGCGUGCUUAACACAUGCAAGUCGAACGGCAGCAUGGUGUGUAGUAAUACACAUUGAUGGCGAGUGGCGGACGGGUGAGUAACGCGUAGGGACCUGCCUUUAAGAGAGGGACAACCUUAGGAAACUGGGGCUAAUACCGGAUAAAGUCGAAAGACCAAAGGCUGGGUGGAGACACCUGGCGCUUAGAGAGGGGCCUGCGUCUGAUUAGCUAGUUGGUGGGGUAAAGGCCCACCAAGGCGAUGAUCGGUAGCUGGUCUGAGAGGACGACCGGCCAAACUGGGACUGAGACACGGCCCAGACUCCUACGGGAGGCAGCAGUGGGGAAUAUUGGACAAUGGGGGCAACCCUGAUCCAGCAAUGCCGCGUGUGUGAAGAAGGCCUUCGGGUUGUAAAGCACUUAGGCUGGGAAGAAGGAGAGUUGUUUAAGAGAUGAUUCUUUUGACUGUACCGGCAGAAUAAGCACCGGCUAACUCUGUGCCAGCCGCCGCCGUAA
rnacentral:rRNA from 1 species